GGGGAAUUUUGGACAAUGGGGGCAACCCUGAUCCAGCAAUGCCGCGUGUGUGAAGAAGGCGUUCGGGUUGUAAAGCACUUUUGUCCGGGAAGAAAUCCUUUUCGAUAAUACCGAAGGGGGAUGACGGUACCGGAAGAAUAAGCACCGGCUAACUACGUGCCAGCAGCCGCGGUAAUACGUAGGGUGCGAGCGUUAAUCGGAAUUACUGGGCGUAAAGCGUGCGCAGGCGGUGAUGUAAGGCCGAUGUGAAAUCCCCGGGCUUAACCUGGGAACUGCAUUGGUGACUGCAUCGCUGGAGUAUGGCAGAGGGGGGUAGAAUUCCACGUGUAGCAGUGAAAUGCGUAGAGAUGUGGAGGAAUACCGAUGGCGAAGGCAGCCCCCUGGGCCAAUACUGACGCUCAUGCACGAAAGCGUGGGGAGCAAAC
rnacentral:rRNA from 1 species